rnacentral:rRNA from 1 species
UACGUAGGUGGCGAGCGUUGUCCGGAUUUACUGGGCGUAAAGAGCGCGCAGGCGGUCGUUCAAGUCGCGUGUGAAAGCCCCCGGCUCAACUGGGGAGGGUCACGCGAUACUGAUCGACUCGAAGGCAGGAGAGGGUAGUGGAAUUCCCGGUGUAGUGGUGAAAUGCGUAGAUAUCGGGAGGAACACCAGUGGCGAAAGCGGAUACCUGGAAGAUUCCUGACUCUGAAACACGAAAGCUAGGGGAGCAAACGGG